rnacentral:tRNA from 1 species
AGAAAUAAAGUAUUGAGAGUAUGAUUCUUUUACAAAGAAUAGGUCUAUAAGAUUAAUAUAGUAUUUCUA